rnacentral:rRNA from 1 species
GACGAACGCUGGCGGCGUGCUUAACACAUGCAAGUCGAACGGUAAGGCCCCUUCGGGGGCACACGAGUGGCGAACGGGUGAGUAACACGUGAGCAACCUGCCCUUGACACUGGAAUAACAGUUGGAAACAGCUGCUAAUGCCGGAUAUGACCUUCGGUGACAUCACCUGGAGGUGGAAAGUGCUUAGCGGUCAAGGAUGGGCUCGCGGCCUAUCAGCUAGUUGGUGAGGUAACGGCUCACCAAGGCUGCGACGGGUAGCCGGCCUGAGAGGGCGACCGGCCACACUGGGACUGAGAUACGGCCCAGACUCCUACGGGAGGCAGCAGUGGGGAAUAUUGCACAAUGGGCGCAAGCCUGAUGCAGCAACGCCGCGUGCGGGAUGACGGCCUUCGGGUUGUAAACCGCUUUCAGUUCCGACGAAGCGCAAGUGACGGUAGGAACAGAAGAAGGACCGGCCAACUACGUGCCAGCAGCCGCAGUAACAC